GUGUCAGCCGCCGCGGUAAUACGUAGGUGGCAAGCGUUGUCCGGAUUUAUUGGGUUUAAAGGGUGCGUAGGCGGCUUGAUAAGUCAGUGGUGAAAGCCGAUCGCUUAACGAUCGAACUGCCAUUGAUACUGUCGGGCUUGAGUAUAGUUGAGGUAGGCGGAAUUGACAGUGUAGCGGUGAAAUGCAUAGAUAUUGUCAAGAACACCAAUUGCGAAGGCAGCUUACUAAAGUAUAACUGACGCUGAGGCACGAAAGUGCGGGGAUCAAACAGGAUUAGAAACCCUUGUAGUCC
rnacentral:rRNA from 1 species